GGAGGAGAGGGUCAGAGACAGAUAGAUAGAUAGAGGGAAGACUGUUACAGGUCACCCUGAGGAGGAGAGGGUCACAGACAGAUAGAUAGAGGGAAGACUGUUACAGGUCACCCUGAGGAGGAGAGGGUCACAGACAGACGGGGAAGACUGUUACAGGUCACCCUGAGGAGGAGAGGGUCACAGACAGAUAGAUAGAGGGAAGAGUGUUACAGGUCACCCUGAGGAGGAGAGGGUCACAGACAGAUAGGUUUUGGGAAGAGUGUUACAGGUCACCCUGUGGAGGAGAGGGUCACAGACAGAUAGAUAGAGGGAAGACUGUUACAGGUCACCCUGAGGAGGAGAGGGUCACAGACAGAUAGAUAGAGGGAAGACUGUUACAGGUCACCCUGAGGAGGAGAGGGUCACAGACGGACAGAUAGAGGGAAGACUGUUACAGGUCACCCUGAGGAGGAGAGGGUCACAGACAGACGGGGAAGACUGUUACAGGUCACCCUGAGGAGGAGAGGGUCACAGACGGACAGGGAAGACUGUUACAGGUCACCCUGAGGAGGAGAGGGUCACAGACAGACGGGGAAGACUGUUACAGGUCACCCUGAGGAGGAGAGGGUCACAGACGGACGGGGAAGACUGUUACAGGUCACCCUGAGGAGGAGAGGAUCACAGACAGACAGAUAGAGGGAAGACUGUUACAGGUCACCCUGAGGAGGAGAGGGUC